rnacentral:misc_RNA from 1 species
UCCGAGUUGACCCCGGCAGUCUUCGAUGAGUCCCCGGCAUAACCCGCUGGCAACAUGGAACGAGGGUUGCGCUCGUUGCGGGACUUAACCCAACAUCUCACGACACGAGCUGACGACAGCCAUGCACCACCUGCACACCAACCACAAGGGAAGCCCUAUCUCUAGGGAUGUCUGGUGCAUGUCAAACCCAGGUAAGGUUCUUCGGGUCGCAUCGAAUUAAGCCGCAUGCUCCGCCGCUUGUGCGGGGACCCGUCAAUUCCUUUGAGUUUUAGCCUUGCGGCCGUACUCCCCAGGCGGGGAACUUAAUGCGUUAGCUUCGGCACGGACGGAGUCGACACCGCCCACACCUAGUUCCCAUCGUUUACGGCGUGGACUAC